AUAUAUAUUUAUAUAGCUGCUGGAAUAGCACAACAGAAAGGACAGGACUGGGCUCAGUGAGCAAGGAGUGAAACAGAGUGCUGCCUUCUGAGGAAACGGCUUCUGAUUUGGAAAAUGCUGUAUGCAUCUUGUGGCAUUUUCACAAUAAAUAUAAAAUUAAAAGCAUUGAAAUGUGAACACACACACACAAAAAAUUCCUUCAUGUUGGUGAAAAGUGUAAGUUGGCAGAAAAACAUUUGAUUUGGCUUGUUUGUUUUGUUUUGUUUUUAAUUUGAAUCCUUCCCCUCUGCAGCAGCUCAGUACCAUCACACUGCAACCACAGAUUAAAAUAUUUGGAGCUCAGGACCCUUACGAAUGCCUUCACACACCCGAGGCUUUGAAGAACGCACAGCUGCAGCUGCCUUUCCCUCAGGGGCCUCACAGUGCACUGAGCACGUGCAGAAACUUCUGGAGUGCUGGGGAAGGAGGAUCCUGCACCUGUGAGGGGCUUUAGUGCCAGUUAUGCUUCUGUCUCUCUGGUGUGGGCUGAGUCUCUUAAGUGCCGUCUUGCUCUUCAGGCACCUGAAAGCAUCCUAAAAGCUGCAAGUUCAUGAAGAGGCAAAGUAACAGAAAAUUGAUCACGAGAGUCUUCAUGAGUAUAUGCGUGUAGCCAUUGCCUGGAAUUACUCUCUGUGUGGUGUUAAGCAGCUGAGGAGCUGGGAUCUACUAAUGCAAGUCUGUGGCAGAUUCUGAUCACAUGCUUUCUUUGGCUGAUUUCCAUGUGUGCAUUGCUGGCGGCUAUUCUUCUGAAGCACUUUCUGUACAUGCUCCUAUGUCUUUUGUACAUCCCUAGUUCAGCGGUUUUUUAAGAGGGCUCCAUUAUGGGACUGCAAGCAAAAGUUGAGGAUAGAAAUGAUAUCAAAUCUGUGGAUUAAGGAUAUGAUUUGCUUUGGCAAAUCUCUUGCUAUCCCUCAUCUCAAGUUACAUCACUGGAAUAUGGUGAUUCAUACAUCCCAUGUGAGAGUAAGUGAGAAUUUAUUUUCUAAAUAGCAAAAAGUAGUGUGAACAUACUGCUUAGAAACACUUUCUAACUGCGGUGGAUAAGUAACAUCUGAAUAGGUGCCCAAGCGUUAACCAAAAAAUAUAAGCACACUGCAUGUAUAUAUAAGCAACCAACUUUUGCAGUUCAUUCAUCUGCAAAAUGCUCUACAUCACAUCCAUUGUAAAGUAGGGUUCGUUCAAGCAAGUGUGAUUGUGUUAAUUUGAGAAUAUUCUUUCGUUCUAGAGAAGCAAACAAAAUGAAUGCUGGGAUUAUCAAUAUGGAGUGAAUGUGUUGGAGAGCAGGAUAUGUAAACUGCUGCUGAAUUUAUGUGGUUUUCUACUCCUCCUUAUGAAGAAGCAGAAAAAGAGAGCUCGUACAGCUCACUCAUUUAUUUGAAUAGAAAGACUGUGUGAGUGGCUGAAAUCUGAAAAUCAAAUACUGCUCCUACAUUUUCAAUCAGUAGGAAGUAGCACAUGAUUAGUCUUCUACAGUUAUUGCAGUGACCUUCCUCAAGUUUAGUUCAGUAAUCAUAAAAUCUGAAUGUUAAGCAUUUGCUUGCCAGCCUAGUUUUUUUAACAGCAUCUUUUCUAUUUAUUUUUAUCACUAAUGUAUAAAUAUAUGGAUAUCAGAUGGCAUUUUGCAUGAAGAUAAAUUUCACUUAGUGUGGUAGGGUGGUAAGGUUGUGGGCUUUAGCAGAACUGUCUGAAACAAUAUUCCCAGGUAACUGCAAGAGCUGCAGCUCCCAAGCAUCUAAAAUAAUAAAUGGCACUCUUGUCUUUCCCGAGGGCAUUUUAGGAAUAUUUAGCAUAUGAACACAUGUGAAAACUAUGGUGGGCUGAAAGGAGUACUGAAUUGUACUUAGCAUUCUUGAAACUGAAAGGCAGAGAAGAGCUAUAUAAAUGAAUGGGUUCCUAGAGGCUUUUUUAUAGAUUAUAGGAGGAGAAUGUGUUAUAAUAAAAGGUAAUAAGAGCUUUCCUGCCUCCAAUAGAUUCUACCUCUGGCUAACCUACAGCUAUCAGGAGUCAGUAAUCCAUGUUGGAUAAAGAGACUUUGAGGAGCAAUUUUAUUCUAUUGGAAUGCACCAGUUUGCACAAUGGAUUUGUUCAAUUUUUUCUAGUCAGCUUUCCUGAGAGACAACAUUUCUGAAGUGCUCUUUCAGUUUUCAUUCUGCAGUUCUUUAAUUGGAUGAAUGGGCUGCAGGGCUCUGGAAGUUGAACAGAAAGUAAAAUUUGCACUCUUUGUAAAACUAGCCAAACAAAACCUGUCUUGCAGUUUCAUCUGACUCCAGGAUAAAACGAACAUGAAAGAAAUGCCUAUUUAAAGAAUGAAAGUGUGAAUGGUUUAGUGGUAUUCUCUUCAGAUUGGCACAUUUUAGAAGAGUCUUUUUCCUUCAUGGGAAAGUAAUAUGCUCCAAGUUGACCAACUGCAGAUCCUUUUCAUAAGAGGUUGAAGGAAAGGCACUGGUAAUGCAACAACAGUGGUGCACCGUAGGACUGGGAUAUAAUGCCAUAGAACUAAUUAGCAUUAUGUACUCCCUGUGUGCUUUCUUAGAGGAACUAUGGUUCUAAAUGAUAGGUAUGUAGCUUGAAACAUUCUUAAUCUGGGCAAGUGGUGCAGUGAAACAUUA